rnacentral:rRNA from 1 species
AAUCAACGCUGGCGGCGUGCCUCAGACAUGCAAGUCGAACGAUUAAAGCUCUCUUCGGAGAGUGUAUAGAGUGGCGCACGGGUGAGUAACACGUAAGUAAUCUACCUUCGAGUGGGGAAUAACAUCGGGAAACCGAUGCUAAUACCGCAUAAUGCAGCGGCAUCGCAAGAUGACAGUUGUUAAAGGAAUUUAUUUCGCUUGAAGAGGAGCUUGCGGCAGAUUAGCUAGUUGGUAAGGUAAUGGCUUACCAAGGCUACGAUCUGUAACCGGUCUAAGAGGACGGUCGGUCACACUGACACUGAAUAACGGGUCAGACUCCUACGGGAGGCAGCAGUCGGGAAUUUUGGGCAAUGGGCGAAAGCCUGACCCAGCAACGCCGCGUGAAGGAUGAGGGUAUUUCGGUAUGUAAACUUCGAAAGAAUAGGAAGAAU